UUGAACGCUGGCGGCAUGCCUUACACAUGCAAGUCGAACGGUAACAGGGAGCUUGCUCCGCUGACGAGUGGCGAGCGGGUGAGUAAUGUAUCGGAACGUACCUUUCAGUGGGGGAUAACGUAGCGAAAGUUACGCUAAUACCGCAUAUUCUGUGAGCAGGAAAGCAGGGGACCUUCGGGCCUUGCGCUGAUUGAGCGGCUGAUAUCAGAUUAGCUAGUUGGUGAGGUAAAGGCUCACCAAGGCGACGAUCUGUAGCGGGUCUGAGAGGAUGAUCCGCCACACUGGAACUGAGACACGGUCCAGACUCCUACGGGAGGCAGCAGGGGGGAAUUUUGGACAAUGGGGGCAACCCUGAUCCAGCCAUGCCGCGUGAGUGAAGAAGGCCUUCGGGUUGUAAAGCUCUUUCGGCCGGGAAAAAAUCGCAUGGGCUAAUACCCUGUGUGGAUGAUGGUACCGGAAUAAGAAGCACCGGCUAACUACGU
rnacentral:rRNA from 1 species